GACGAACGCUGGCGGCGUGCUUAACACAUGCAAGUCGAACGAAGCUUGACUACGGAUUCUUCGGAUGAAGUAUGAUAUGACUGAGUGGCGGACGGGGGAGUAACGCGUGAGUAACCUGCCCUUCAGAGGGGGAUAGCGCUUGGAAACGAACGGUAAUACCGCAUAAUGUAUUUUGAUCGCAUGAUCGAAAUACCAAAGAUUUAUCGCUGAAGGAUGGACUCGCGUCUGAUUAGGUAGUUGGCGGGGUAACGGCCUACCAAGCCGACGAUCAGUAGCCGGACUGGGAGGUUGGUCGGCCACAUUGGGACAGAGGCACGGGCCAGACUCCUACGGGAGGAAGCAGUGGGGAAGAUUGCACAAUGGGCGCAAGCCUGAUGCAGCAACGCCGCGUGAAGGAAGACGGUUUUCGGAUUGUAAACUUCUGUUCUUAGGGAAGAAUAAUGACGGUAGCUAAGGAGCAAGCCACGGCUAACUACGUG
rnacentral:rRNA from 1 species